UGGCGGAAGAAACCACUAUGGUGGGGAUGAAGCCGAGGCGCAAGGACAUGAGGGAUCCGUAUUGUUUAGAGAGUUGCCAUAAGUAGCGAUGACGGGCUGAGUUAUCCAUCUGGUGCAGGUUCCCAAUGAAGGGAAGCCCAGGAGGACCCGGUGGAAGGUGGAGUAGUCCUCCAUUUUUUCUGUGUUUUCGAUGAAGAAACAAGAGCAAGAGAGGAAAAGCUAGAAUGACAAAAAGCAACACUGUCAUGGUGUGAAGAUCUUCACUGCUAUGAGUUAGUGCUAUAUUGCUAUGUAAGGAAUGGGCAAAAGACGAAUCCUAUAUAAUAUAAUUCUGGACUGGGCUCUUGCCGUAUCGUACCAAUCUUAUUAAAUUUUAAUUAUUACAUAUUCCAAGAACUCAGUACGUGGAGAUAUAUUAUAUAUUGGCCUUAAUUGGAAGAGUACAUGUAACUUACCUAAUCCAUAAAAGGGAUAUAAGAUAUGAAAAUACUAAUAUAUCCUUUAAAUUUUUAUAUAUUACCACUAAUUGAUUUUAAGAUUAUAAAAUAAUGAUGAACCAAAAUAUUCAUUGACCAUUCAAAUAAACUUUUUUUAUCUUUAUUGCAUUACUAUUCAUGCAACCAUAAUAAUUCUAUUUUAACUAUUUGGAUUUCUAAUUAUUUUUUAAAACUUUUUUUUAUAAAUAAUUGAAAAAAUUAGCAUUAUUUUUUAUUUUAAAUUAUAAAUGAAGAAAAUUUAUGUUCAAAAACUAUUUUAAAAAAUACUUUCUAAAAAAAUGGUAAUAUGAUUUAUAUUUUUUAUAUUUUCUUUUUGAAAAAACAUUUAAUUAAAAAAUGAAAACUAUUUUUAAAAUUAAAAAUUAAAAACCUUAUUUAGUACUAUUUUUUAUAUGAAAAUAAUAAAAAUAAAUACAUUUCAUUAAUUAAUUAUCCAUUUUUAUUUUUCCAUUAGUUAUUUUAAUAUAAUAUAUAUAUAUAUAGCAUGUUUACAAUUAAACAAAGGAAUUUGGUCAAUUAUGUGUUUUUCGUGUGACUAUCUUUUACAUGAAAAAUAAUUAAAUAACUAAAUUAUAUAUAUUUAUUACUUUUUUUAAUUUUUUUUCUUUAUUUUUUUUUUGUCUAAUAGAAAAUUUUAAUAUAUCCAUAAUUAACAAAGUAAUAGAUCAAUUGUGCACAUUUUCAUCUAUUAAAAUAAAUUACUUUCUAAUUUAAAUAAAUAAAAUGAAAUAAGUAAAUAAAUUUGAGGUUAUUUGUAUUUUUUAACAUAUCUUAUAUUAAUAUUUUUACGGUUAAAUUAAUUUUUUUUAUUUUUUAUUUAAUUCCAAAAAUAAAAUGAAAUAAAUAAAUAAAUUUGGUAGUUUUUAACCAAUCUUAUAUUUAUAUUUCUUAUGGUUAAAUAAAUUUUUUAUUCUUUUUUCUUUAUUUCCAAAUAUAAAAGGAAAUAAAUAAAUAAAUUUGUCUUAAAUAAUAGUUUUUAAGUAAUUUCUUGUUUUAUUUUUAAUUAAAUUUUGCAUUGAAAAUAAAAUAAAAUAACGUUUUAUUUGUUUUGAUUAUUUUAAAAGUCAAACUAUUGGGAACAUAAUUUACAUACUCAUGUGAAUAUAAUUUAUGCAUAUGAAUGUGUGAAACCAAUGUUUGGUUAAUCUCAGUUUUAAUGAUAACAAAACAAGGUUUAGAACUAAUGAUUAUAUUUUUAAGUGUGAUUAGGCAAGACGAUUUUCAAAGUGGCAAUUACAAAGACAAAUUAAGCCAAUGAGAAAUCAUGAAAAAAAAGACCACCUCAAAGAGAAGUGUUUUUCAAGACCCAAGCUUCAUAAAGAUCUCUUUGUAAGGUUGUUGGUGCACUAGAAUUUUUAUGCAUUACAUUCUUUACUUAUGCACCAAAGUCAUCCAAGAGUUAUUUUGUUGUAAAUAUUUUAAAUUGGAUGAUUUCAUGUUUUCAACUAAAACCUUGUGUCAAAUGUUUUUCAAACUUGUUUAAAAGGUUUUAAGUUGAAAAAGUUGGUUGUUGAGCCAAAAACGACUCAACUGGUUGAACCAGAUGAGGAACCGGUCGACCCCCAACUUAACCGAUCUAGGAGCAGGUCGACCCCCAAUUCAAUCGGUCAAAGGUGUGAACAGUAACCGAUCGACCGCCAACUCAACUGGUCGAGGGGUGUAAAAAUCUUCUCUCUCUUCCAGAAUGGUUGUUCAACCAAAUGAGAAAUCAGUCAACCCACACCACAAUCGGUCGAGGUCCAACGGUCACCUGCUAAGCAUUAAAUGUUAACGGCUAGUCAACCGAUCGACGCUUAACUCGACUAGUCGAACCCUCAACGGCUAGUUUGACUUUUUUUUCUUCUAUGAAAAGACUCCAAAUCUUCAUUAUUUAUGAGCUCAACCUUCCCAAACCUUUUUUGAAUAUAUUUGAGCCAUGGAAAAGUGUUUUGAGUGCACCAUUAUUCUAAAACUUGCAUAUCAUUAGUGCACCUUUCAAUCCUAGUUUUCUUGUAUCAUUUGAGCUUAAAGAUUUUGUACUAGGAUUUUGUGAGAUUAAUUAUUUGUAUAUAUUUGAGAGUAAGAUUCUCAAGUGUGGGGUAUCUCUUAAGGAUUUUAAAGGGUGCUUAGAGCCAAAAGUCCAAGAUGGUAGAUUGGAACCAUAAUUCAAUUUUAUUACUUGAAUGUUUGGUUUAGAAGCCUUGAAUUAGUAGAACCUCAAGCUUAGGAUUGAAACUAGAGGAGAGUGGAUGUAGGUCGGGUUGCGUCGAACCACUAUAAAAUUUUGUAUUUGCAUUCUCUCUUCCCUACUCUUUUACUUUAUAUGCAAUUGUCUUUAUAUUGUUUUAUUAUAUACUUACAUAUAUUUGUCUCUUACAUUCACAUAGUUUAAAUUUUGCAAAAAAAAACCAUCACUCUAUUUACUCCCCCCUCUAGGGUGAUUACCAUAGGUUGAAUUAGCCUAAAUUUUCUAACAGUAUAAAAUGUAUACCAUUAUACAAGGCUAUUACACUAAUUGUACAAGGGGUGUACAAAACUGUACAUUUUGAACAACUUUUUUUUUCUUGUCAUCUAAGGAUUAUACACUCUCUUACCACAAAUUCUUUCAUUUCAUGUACUUUAUUUAACUUACAUAUGACAAUUCAAAUACUUACCCUAAUAAUGAUAUUUGAGGGAAAAUUUUGUUUUUACAUUUUAUAUCAUUUUCUAAAUUAAACCAAUGGAAACAUGAUUCAUACAUCAUAUGUGGACACAUAAUGUAUGCAUAUGGAUGAAAUUUAUAUCAUUGUACAAGGGUGUUAUAUUAACUGUGCAAGGUAAAUGUUCAAUUGGAUAAAAAAAAUGUUCUAACUAUACAAAACAAAUGUUCUAACUAUACAAGGGGUAUACAAAGCUAUCCUUUGUGAAAGAUUUCAAUCAAUUUUGGACAACUUUUUUUUUUUUUUUUUUUUGUCUUGUCAUCUAAGGAUUGCACACUUUCAAGGUACACAUUUCUCUAUCACACACUCAUCUUAUGCAUUUUAUUUAACUCACACAUGACAAUUUAAGUACUUAUCCUACUAAUGAUCUUUGAGAGAAAAUUUUGUUUUUUCAUCUUCCACUAUUUUUUGAACCAAACAAAUGAAAACGUGGUUAACCUACCUAUGGUUACACAUUGAGUAGGGGGUAUAUGGAAUUUGGGUCACUGUACAAGGUAUUUACACUAAGUGUACACGACAAAUAUACUAACUGUAGAAGGGUGUACAAGACUAUCAUUUGUGAAGAAUUUUAAGUGAUUCUGAAAAACUUAUUUGUUUAUUUCCCCUAACCAAGGAUAGAUGACAUUCCUUACAUACAUUGGUUAAGCAUACUGUGGACCCCGCAUUUCGGCUUAUGCAUUUCCCACUUGAUGGCGACCUCAAUUUUAAUUUGAAAAAUGAUUUUUAUUGAUUUAAGAAAAUAACUUGGAGUCGCCACUUAUUUUUGUUUUAUUUUUAAAAGGGUAAACAAAAUAAGAAAGAAAACCCUAAGUGCGACUCCUUAUUUUGGAAAAGGUGAUCUACGAGAAAUCGGAUCGGGCUCGGGGGUCAGGUUACUUAUCGGGAAGGUACGAUAAAAGACCAUAGCACCCUUCUAAGUCCCUAAAAUCGGGUCUCUACUAACAAAAUGAAGCUGACGUGGCAAUUUACGAGUAAAUCAGUGAAUAUCCUGAAUGAUCAUGCACACAUAAGAGUCAAGACAUGCAUAGACAACGAUUAGAGGGAAAAUGGGUACAUACCUGGGCAACAAACUGUCAUGCGCUAUCAAUAGAGAGGGUUAGUACACUAUAUAGAGCACAAAACAUACCACAUGCAUCACUAAGCAGGGAUUAAAAUUGUUCGAAGGAAAGCUGGAUUUUUUAAAUUCAUUUGAGAAUCGGAAUGUUAGAUAUUAUUUGAAAAUUGGAUUCUUAGGAAUUAAAUGUAAGAAAUGAGAACUUUUAGAAAUUAAAUUUGAAAGAAAAUUGGGAUUUUGAAGAAUUAUUUGAAAGUUCGGGAUUUUUAAGAAAAAUUAAGUUACGAAAAUUGGGAUUAUGGGAGUUAAAUUUCGAAAGGGAUCAGAAUCAUAAGUUUUUUUUUUUUGAGGCGUAGAAAUUAUGAAAGUUGAUGUGUAAAAAUUGGAAAUCUUAGAAAUCAUUCGAAGGCAGAAUUUAUAGAAAUAAUGAACAAUAUGAUAAUGAUAAUGAUAAUAAUAAGUAGCGGGGUAAAUACGGGAAUUGGAGCAUGGGAAACUGGAAAUUAAGUUCGGAGAUAGGACAAUUGGAAUUUCAGAUAGCUAAAUUUAGGAAUCAGAAUUUUGAAGAAUUAGACUCUAAUGAUUGAAAUUUUUAAGAGAAAUAAAUGGGUAAGUAUGGAGUAAUGUUACGGAUUAAUCAAAACGAUAUUUGGGCGGAUGAAUAGUGAAUAGUGGGAUUUUGAAAAUUAAAUUUUGAAAGUCGGGCCUUUGAAUAAUUAACUCUAAUUAUUGGAAUUUUUAGAAGAAAGAAGCAAGUAGACAUGGAAUUUAUAAUAAUGAUAACAAAGAUGAUAUUUAAAUGAAUAAAAGUGAAUGGUGGAAUUUUUUUUAGUCUGAAGGUUAAAUUUGGAAAUCCGGUUUUGAAGAGUUGAAUUUUAAUGAUUGAAAUAAAUAAAUGAACGAAUAUGGAAUAACGAUACUUAUUAACAAAAAUAAUGCUCAAACGAAUAAAAUAGUGGGAUUUUUCUAAUUGGAAAUUUGAAUUAGGGCGUUGGAUUUUUAAAGGAUAUGACUUUGAAUAAAUAGGUAAGUAUGAGAUUAUAAUACUAAUUAACGAAAAUAAUAUUUAGACGAAUAAAGAUGGAUAGUAGAAUUUUUGGGAUUGAAGUUUUAAUUAAGGCAUGGGGUUUUCGGAAGAUUGGACUUUGAAUAGAUGUGGAAAUAAUGAUUCUAAUUGAUGAGGAUAAAAUUUAGACGAACUGUAGAAUUUUUAGGAUUGAGAAAUUGAGUUAAGACAAGAGAUUUUUGGAGAACUAGGUUUUAAAUAAAUAGACGAAUACGAGAUAAUAAUCCUAAUUGAUGAAAAUAAGAUUUAAACGAAUUACUGAUAAACUAAAUUAAGACAGGGGAUUUUUGAAGGAUUAGAUUUUAAAUAACUAAAUAAACAUGGGAUAAUAAUUCGAUUUAUGAAAAUAUGAUUUAAACAAGUAUUUGAAGAAUUAAAUUAAAAACAUGGGAUUUUUGAAGGGGUAGGCUAGAUAAAUAAAUGAAUGUAUAAGAUAAUAAUUCCCAUUGAUGGACAUAAGAUUUAAACGAGUAUUUGAAGAAUUAAAUUACAGAAGUAGAGGAAAAAUGGACUAAGCCCAUGGUCUAAUAACCAAGGAGAUGUCACUAUGAUAGCCUUCAUCGUCUGAAUUUCAAUAUGAAAAUGAUGCAAUUAACAUUAUAUAAAAUUGAGUACCGUCAUCAAUACCAUAAAAUAUUAGGUCAUAUUAUUGGAUCCAAAUAAGAAAAUCGUAGGAUUAAGAGUACAUUAUUCUCAGAUAACUUUUACAGGAACAUACACUAGAUGUCCAUUAAUUAUAUUUCUUAGCCAUAAGGCAAAGAGCAUUCUUCUUGUGCAUUGUAAGACCAGGUAUGACAUCAAAGUCAAUGUCUUCCUUGUUCAUUCCAGCAGGCAUUUCCCAGUCAAAUGAGUAAAGAAGAUUAGCUAGUGUGAGCUCCACUGUCACAGCUCCGAUAUGUAUUGCUGGGCAAACUCUUCGGCCUGCUCCGAACGGUAUCAGCUUAUAAUUUUGUCCUCUGAAGUCCACGGAAGAACCCAAGAAUCUCUCCGGUAUGAACUCUUCUGGGUUUUCCCAGGCCUCCGGAUCUCUUCCAAUGGCCCACGCAUUCACAAAUACUAGGGUUUUGGGUGGUAUCUCAUACCCAUCUAUACUGCACUUCUGAAGUGUUUCUCUUGGAAGCAGCAAUGGAGCUGCAGGAAGCAGCCUCAUCGUCUCCUUCACUACUGCCUUGAGAUAAGGGAGCUUCUCAACAUCAUCUUCCCCUAUAAAUCCCUUCUUUCCAAAUGUAUUUCUCACUUCUUCUUGGGCUUUCUUCAUCACUCUGGGAUUCUUCAUUAAUGCUGUCAUCGCCCAAAUCACGGUGGCUGUGCCUGCAUCUGUUCCUCCUACAAAUAUAUUCUGCAAAGAAAAUUAAUAUUCAAGUUAAAAAAGAUUAAUAAUAUUCAAGUUAGUGAAAGAUUGAUUGAUUACCAUGAGCACUCCUUUAAUGUGAUCCCAAGUGAUAUCAAUGGCAAACGAGUUGUCCUUCUGCAGUUCAAUUAAGACGUCAGUGAUGUCCUCUUGUUCUUGUUUUUUUCUGUCUGGUUUCAGAUGAUCUUCGAUAAUUUCCUGGUAGAACAAAUCCAUAUCCCUGAGAGUUUUCUCGAGCCGAGCAGUCAGGCCGGUGAGUUUAUCGAGCCAACCCAUCAAAGGAAAAUGAUCCGAGAAAAAGAAGCUUCCCAACAUAGCCUGAGCAUCAUUUAGAAGUCCAUGAAAUCUACUUGUUUCACAUCCUUCAUCCUCGUACCUCUUGCCGAAAGAAACCCUACAGAUUAUGGUGAUUGUGAGAAACAUCACUGUCUCGCUCAAGUUGAUAAGUUUGGAAGCAGAUGCCAACUUGGAGAUUUUUUCAAUCAUUUGCGAAACCUCAUAUUCCCGAAUAGGAGUAUAGGAUUGAACCCUUUUCAAGGUGAAGAGAUGAAGAACACAAAUCUUUCUCAUUUCUCUCCAAUAAUCGUUGUAUGGUGAAAAGGCCAAAUCUAGGCAGUUGUAAGAUAGCCUUCGAGGGCCAAUCAAGGAAGGCCUACUAGCAAAUUUAAGAUCAUGUGUUUUCAUGACCUCCUUUGCUAUUCUGGCGGAAGAAACCACUAUGGUGGGGAUGAAGCCGAGGCGCAAGGACAUGAGGGGUCCGUAUUGUUUAGAGAGUUGCCAUAAGUAGCGAUGAGGGGCUGAGUUAUCCAUCUGGUGCAGGUUCCCAAUGACGGGAAGCCCAGGAGGACCCGGUGGAAGGUGGAGUAGUCCUCCAUUUUUUCUGUGUUUUCGAUGAAGAAACAAGAGCAAGAGAGGAAAAGCUAGAAUGACAAAAAGCAACACUGUCAUGGUGUGAAGAUCUUCGCUGCUAUGAGUUAG
rnacentral:lncRNA from 1 species